GAUGAAGAACGUAGCGAAAUGCGAUAAGUAGUGUGAAUUGCAGAAUUCAGUGAAUCAUCGAAUCUUUGAACGCACAAUGCGCCCCCUGGUAUUCCGGGGGGCAUGCCUGUCCGAGCGUCAUUGCUGCCCUCAAGCACGGCUUGUGUGUUGGGCCUCCGUCCUCCUCCCGGGGGACGGGCCCGAAAGGCAGCGGCGGCACCGCGUCCGGUCCUCGAGCGUAUGGGGCUUCGUCACCCGCUCUUGUAGGCCCGGCCGGCGCUUGCCGACACAUCAAUCUUUUUUCCAGGUUGACCUCGGAUCAGGUAGGGAUACCCGCUGAACUUAAGCAUAUCAAUAAGCGGAGGA
rnacentral:misc_RNA from 1 species